rnacentral:tRNA from 1 species
GGAGGGCUCGGAUAAUGGUAGUCCAGCGGUCUUGAAAACCGUCGACCUUGCGGUCAUGGGGGUUCGAAUCCCUCGCCCUCCGCCA